UCCAGGACAAUCCUCUGAUCCUGCAGUCAGACAGGAAUGUGACGGUGAACGCAAGAAACAACCUUGGUCAGCUAACAGGACAGCUCACUGUGGGCUCGGAGAUGGUGGAGGCCCAGUGUCAGAGGUUCGAGGUGAGGAGUCCUGACGGGGAGCGGGUGCUCUUCUCCGCUGACGAGAAGGAGAUCAGCAUCGGCACUGAGAAACUGAGGGUGACAGGGAACGAAGGUGUCGUCUUCGGACAUUCAGUGGAGACAUCCCACAUCAGAGCAGAACCUUUCCAGGAUCUCAAGUAAGCAUUCUGGAAUCAC